GGCAGUGGUAGCUCAGUGGUUAAGACUUCUUAUCAGAAGGUUGUGAGUUCAAAUCCCAGCACUGCCA